rnacentral:rRNA from 1 species
UGAUUAAUAUAUCGGAACGUACCCAAGAGUGGGGGAUAACGUAGCGAAAGUUACGCUAAUACCGCAUACGAUCUAAGGAUGAAAGCAGGGGACUGCAGACCUUGUGCUCCUGGAGCGGCCGAUAUCUGAUUAGCUAGUUGGUGAGGUAAAGGCUCACCAAGGCAACGAUCAGUAGCUGGUCUGAGAGGACGACCAGCCACACUGGAACUGAGACACGGUCCAGACUCCUACGGGAGGCAGCAGUGGGGAAUUUUGGACAAUGGGGGCAACCCUGAUCCAGCAAUGCCGCGUGAGUGAAGAAGGCCUUCGGGUUGUAAAGCUCUUUUGUCAGGGAAGAAAAGGUCGUGGCUAAUAUCCACGACUGCUGACGGUACCUGAAGAAUAAGCACCGGCUAACUACGUGCCAGCAGCCGCGGUAAUACGUAGGGUGCAAGCGUUAAUCGGAAUUACUGGGCGUAAAGCGUGCGCAGGCGGUUUCGUAAGUCUGUCGUGAAAUCCCCGGGCUUAACCUGGGAAUGGCGAUGGAGACUGCGAGGCUAGAGUUUGGCAGAGGGGGGUAGAAUUCCACGUGUAGCAGUGAAAUGCGUAGAGAUGUGGAGGAACACCGAUGGCGAAGGCAGCCCCCUGGGUCAAAACUGACGCUCAUGCACGAAAGCGUGGGGAGCAAACAGGAUUAGAUACCCU